UACGUAGGGUGCAAGCGUUGUCCGGAAUUAUUGGGCGUAAAGAGCUCGUAGGUGGUUUGUCGCGUUGUUCGUGAAAACUCACAGCUCAACUGUGGGCGUGCGGGCGAUACGGGCAGACUGGAGUACUGCAGGGGAGACUGGAAUUCCUGGUGUAGCGGUGGAAUGCGCAGAUAUCAGGAGGAACACCGGUGGCGAAGGCGGGUCUCUGGGCAGUAACUGACGCUGAGGAGCGAAAAGCGUGGGGAGCGAACAGG
rnacentral:rRNA from 1 species